GACGAACCGUGCGAACGUUGUUCGGAAUCACUGGGCUUAAAGGGCGCGUAGGCGGUUUGCCAAGUCAGGGGUGAAAUCCUGCAGCUCAACUGUAGAAGUGCCUUUGAUACUGGCGAACUCGAGGGAGGUAGGGGGUGGGUGGAACUUCUGGUGGAGCGGUGAAAUGCGUUGAUAUCAGAAGGAACGCCGGGUGGCGAAAGCGACCCACUGGCCCGGAACUGACGCUGAGGUGCGAAAGCGUGGGGGAGCGAACAGGA
rnacentral:rRNA from 1 species